rnacentral:rRNA from 1 species
AGCUCCAAUAGCGUAUAUUAAAGUUGUUGCAGUUGAAAAGCUCGUAGUUGCAGUUGUGUCGGGGGUUUUGGGGCUGUGUGGCGGGGGAGUCGUGGGCGGGUUCGCGGUGUGCCUUCGGGCCGCCGCGUCCCGUCGCGCCCCUCGCUUGAGCCCCUCCCCGGCAUCUCUUCUGGACCACGUCCCGCCUGUCCUUCACUGGAUUCGGGCGGGCGUUCCAGAUCGUUUACUGUGAAGAAAUUAGAGUGUUCAAAGCAGGCAUCAGCGGCUUCUGAAUAGAUUAGCAUGGAAUAAUGGCAAGAGAGGUUUGGACACCCGGUUCCAUCAGGGGCCGGGGGUUGUGGGGAUUCCUAUCCGAACUGGCCCAGCGCCACAGGGUGAGUCGGGGGGGCAGCAAUGCUUUCCCUUGCCCACCCUGCUCAUGAUGAACAGGGACAGUUGGGGGUGCUAGUAUUCAACGGCCAGAGGUGAAAUUCUUGGAUUCGUUGAAGACUAACGUCUGCGAAAGCAUUCACCAAGGAUGUCUUCA